rnacentral:lncRNA from 1 species
UGGCAAAAUAAAAACACAAGACAACCAUAUAAUAGUUAAGUAUAAUUUUAUGAACCACAAGAUGGCAAAAUAAAAAUACAAGACAACCAUAUAAUAGUUAAGUAUAAUUUUAUGAACCACAAGAUGGCAAAAUAAAAACACAAGACAACCAUAUAAUAGUUAAGUAUAAUUUUAUGAACCACAAGAUGGCAAAAUAAAAACACACUAAAUCAUAGAGGAGUUAAGUGUAACUUCUUAAAACACAAGAUGGCAAAAUUAAAAUACACUACAUCACAGUGAGUAAAUUGAAGUUUACCUUAAUAAAAUAAUGUCCAAGAAAAAAAUAU